GAGUAGUUCUACAGGGUUGAGUAGAUAUAGAGGGUUGAGUAGUUCUGUAGGGUUGAACAGUUCUGUAGGGUUGAGUAGAUCUAUAGGGUUGAGUAUAUCUAUAGGGUUCAGUAGUUUCUAUAGGGUUCAGCAGUUCUACAGGGUUGAGUAGAUAUAGAGGGUUGAGUAGUUCAGUAGGGUUCAGCAGUUCUACAGGGGUGAGUAGAUAUAGAGGGUUGAGUAGUUCAGUAGGGUUCAGCAGUGCUACAGGGUUGAGUAGAUGAACUCUGGGGGUCUGGGGAUUGCGGAUCCGGAGGGCACGGCUGAUCGCAGACAGGCCUGGUCACACAGCUCCUUCACACAGCCUGUACCCCGCUCUUCCACAGUUUACAGCAGUGAAGCCUUACCUUUCUUUUGUUGUCAUAGAAGCAGUCACCAAGGUUACUGGAGGAGUGGGGUCAAAGGUCACACCAGACCUCUGGCCCCACCCAUCUAUCACCCAACUCCAUUUGGCAGAUUUGGUCAGUGGUGUACGAAGCCAACUGUGUUUUUUUUUUUAAAUAUAAGACUUCCGGAACACUCCACGGACAACAGUGAUUGGUCAGCUUUUAUGAAGCACUGUGACCUCAUCUUUGCCCAUUGCCAGGCUGCUCUAUUCAGGAACAAGCCACCAUUGCAUUAACAGCCCACGGGCUGUACUUCCUCUCUGGGAAUAAUUUACGUCUCUCUGUCAACUUGAUACGUUUUCUUCAUUUUGUGCAUAUGUUAAUUAUUUUUGCAGAAGUUAAUUAUUUCUAGUAAGCAGUCUUACAAAAAAAAGGAACAAUUUUGGUUGGUCGAUUGGAUCUUUAGAAAGAUCUUUAGAAUCGGAGAAGGGUGAAAUCAUUGAUUUACCGUAGAUUGGUGGUAGAUUGUUUGUAGAUUGGUUGUAGAUUGUUCGUAGAUUGUUCGUAGAUUGGUCGUAGAUUAGUAAUUAGUUUCAAGGCAUACUCCUAUUGUGGCUGUAUAGACGGCUAGUUUACAUUUAUGUGAACAAGCGAUAUGUCGCACUUUUGACAGCUCCUAAAGCUAUGACGUCACCUCGCAGGUGACAUCAUCUUUUGAAGGCACUGAAGUAUCUAUUUUGAAGCACUCUAUGAAGACAGGCAACACAGCUAUAAUUUAGGGUUUAGGUGAAAUGUGGGCAAAUGAAAGUGUAGCUAAAUUAUCCACAUCGUAACUUUUUACUGAUCCAUAAUUGUUUAUCUUUACCGGAGUAGCCUCGUCUUUCCUCUCUGUUGAGACAGCUUCCUGUAAUUAAUUCGGAAAAUACAUUAUAAUCCACAGUCCUGAUGCCUUGAAAAGACACGAUGCGGAUAUUUCAUAUUUGUCGUUUUACAGGGACCAGUAUAUUUCAUUUGAAUUUGACCGUCUUCGUUUAGCAAUAACGGUUUCUUUUCUUGCUUACUUAUAGGCCAGCAUUUAUCAUUUUAUUUUCUUUGUACUUGCCUGACGAUUUAAAACCCUUAAACGUGUGUUUAGCGUAUGUACGUCUGGGCACAUCAUCAGCGAGACUUAAUUGUGGUUAUUGUAUUAAUUUAACAAACCAGAGUAGGUUUAAAUUAUGCAAGUGUUGCAUUUUUUUAUAUAAUCAAAAUGUAAAUUGUGCAUAGAUUGGUAACUAUUUUUAAUCGUGUCGUGUUGAAUUUUGUAUGAGAAAUGUAUUGAAUGAAGUAAAACAAAAAAAACAAAUAA